rnacentral:rRNA from 1 species
GUGCACGCUGGCGGCGUGCCUAAUACAUGCAAGUCGAACGAACGAAUAAGAGCUUGCUCUUAUAAGUUAGUGGCGCACGGGUGAGUAAUAUAUAGCUAAUCUGCCUCUUAGUAGAGGAUAACAGUCGGAAACGAUUGCUAAUACUCUAUACUUCUGCUUUACAUAAGUAAAGUAGAGAAAGUUUUUCGCUAAGAGAUGAGGCUAUACUGUAUCAGCUAGUUGGUAAGGUAACGGCUUACCAAGGAUAUGACGCAUAACUGGUCUGAGAGGAUGAUCAGUCACAUUGGAACUGAGACACGGUCCAAACUCCUACGGGAGACAGCAGUAGGGAAUAUUGCGCAAUGGGGGAAACCCUGACGCAGCAACGCCGCGUGGAGGAUGACACUUUUCGGAGCGUAAACUCCUUUUAUCGGGAAAGAAUAAUGACGGUACCCGAUGAAUAAGCACCGGCUAACUCCGUG